rnacentral:rRNA from 1 species
GAACUGAAGAGUUUGAUCAUGGCUCAGAUUGAACGCUGGCGGCAGGCCUAACACAUGCAAGUCGAGCGGAUGAGAAGAGCUUGCUCUUCGAUUCAGCGGCGGACGGGUGAGUAAUGCCUAGGAAUCUGCCUGGUAGUGGGGGACAACGUUUCGAAAGGAACGCUAAUACCGCAUACGUCCUACGGGAGAAAGCAGGGGACCUUCGGGCCUUGCGCUAUCAGAUGAGCCUAGGUCGGAUUAGCUAGUUGGUGAGGUAAUGGCUCACCAAGGCGACGAUCCGUAACUGGUCUGAGAGGAUGAUCAGUCACACUGGAACUGAGACACGGUCCAGACUCCUACGGGAGGCAGCAGUGGGGAAUAUUGGACAAUGGGCGAAAGCCUGAUCCAGCCAUGCCGCGUGUGUGAAGAAGGUCUUCGGAUUGUAAAGCACUUUAA